GCUUGCAAUUGUGCAUAGUGGGUUUUAAAAAAAAAUAUAAAAAAAAACCUUUCAUAUACGCGUUCACUCUUUGCUGUUUAUGAUAAUUUAUUGUUAAUGAUUUGAAUAUGUUUGACACCUGUUCUGUCUGAAAUCCUUUGACCUUUGGUCAAUGGUUAUUGCUCAACGAGUGUGCCCAUGAUGAUCGCUCACUGCACGGUGGACCUCACUGCCCACGUGACCAAGAGCAGGGACAAACAUUGUUCUGAGUAGUCUUCGAGGGCAGUAGACGUACAAACAAGAACAGGUUCCCGCCUGGAAAUUUGUCUUUGUUUCAAAUCCUGGUCCUGGUAUUUAAACGAAGAAAUCCCUUAUUCUUCACUCACCUGUGCUGAAACUGACAAUGACGAAAUAUUCAUGUAGCUGUAUGGGACAUCUGAACAAUUCAACGAAUGUUGAGUGAAGGCUAAAUCAUUGCAACUUGGGUCUUCAUUGGGGAACCAUGAUGCAGCAAAGGAAGAUAAUGAUAGAAGGAAGACAACCACCACUUCCCUUCUCAUCAUCAUCAUCAGCAGCAGCAGCAGCAGCAGCAGCAGCAUGACAUCAACAAUUUCAAUCAAAGUCUUGCGAGAUGUACUUUGUAAGUGUGUAUUAUUUUUAAUAUUAUUAUUAUAUUUAAAAAAGAUAAUUAUGCUACAUACAUGUUCAAGCGUGAUAUUAUACUGGUAUAUGUAUUUAUCCUGUAUCCAGCUUCUCUGACCAAUACUUGUUGUCUUUCCUUGCAUUUAUUGUUUACUUUUUUUUAGCUCACCUAAGCUAAAAGCACAAGUGAGGUAUUCUGAUCACUUUUUGUUCGACGUCCGUCUGUCUGUUCAUACGUCCAUAUGUACGUCUGUCUGUAAACUUUUUACAUUAAUGCAGAAAAACUGAAACUUGUGGAAUCAUCCUCAGGUAGUGUAAGAUUUAAGUUUGUAAGGUGGGGCUACAAAGGUGUAAUGAAUUCUUAAACUGGAAUGUAUAGAGAACAAUCUUUAAAAAUCUUCUUCUCAAAAUCCAAUUAGCCAGAAAAGCAAGUGUAUAUUCAAGUUUGUCAAAGUCAUGACUUCGGGGGUAGUAUGGGACCACAUUGGAGAGUUGAACUUAUUCUCCAAAAAUGUUAUAUUAAAUACAUGGUAUCAAAUGUACUUAUAUGCAAGCUUUUUGACACCAAGUGAACAUAUUGCUGAUUCUUAAAUGUUUAGUCAUGGGACCUUGGACAAUUCUUGGGCGAAUCUAGGUGAGCGAUAUGAUCUAUCAGCUUCUUUUUUUCAUAUAGUCUUCUUCCAAGGGAAUAAUUUAUUAAAUUAGUUAAUUCAAAUUCAAGUAGGUAUAUUUUCGCUACCCAUUAAAAAUAGUCCUAAUGAGAUAUAAGACACUCCAUUUUUGAGGUACUGUUUUUUUUUAUAUAAAGAAAAUAAUAAACUUUAACAACUUUGCUACCUUAUCUUUCAUAGUCUUGUUGACUUACAGCGAGACGUAUUUUGUUAAAUAGCCUUUGAUCUUAAGGUGAUGAGUUCAAAACUGAUAAACAUGCUAAGUUUUACAAUUUUUUCAAGAGAGAGUUGCACGAGAGCCCGGUUUUUUUAAAAGUGUCAUGUUGUAAAUUUUGAAUUUACUGGGUGGGGGUAUUGUCAUGUUGUACAUUUUGUAUUUACACCCACCCAGUAAAUUCAAAAUUUACAACAUGACAAAAAACCCACGACAAUUUUUAUUUUCACCACA